rnacentral:lncRNA from 1 species
GAAGCAUUCCCUGUGAACCUAUGCAAACUCAUCUCCACAUUAGUCUGGCUGGCUUCCUUGUGAGAUACAGGUUCCUCCUGAAGAGCUGGAGCUCCAGUCUGGCUCUAGACUUCUCCUUGCUUCCAGACUCAAGAUGAGAAGCAUUUUUCCAGUGCAUAAGUGUUAGAGGAUACUGCCGAUGGUGUGUGUUUUGUCCAGGCUGGACUCAGCUUCUUCAUCUUGGAAAAGUUUUGAAAGAAAAGUCAUGCUUCAAUUAAUAACAGACAACGGAGUCAAUAUGACGGGAGCAGAGACAAUGAUGUGAUCAAAUGCCAAGAGAUGACUGACAGCAGAAAAAAUAUCAUGGCACAGACUUCAAGAUGUCAUCUUGGAAGCAGAGACUGGACCUUCACCAGACUCAAAACCUACCAGUACCUUGAUCCUAAACGUCUUUCCCGGCUCCAGAACUGUGAGAAAACACUUCCAAGAUAUGACGAGAGCGACUUUCCAUUUAUCUUCUAUGGAAAUUCAUUCUGCAGGAGUGGCACUGUCAGCUUAAGAGACACAAGCUAUUGUCUUGCAGCUAAAAAAAAAAAGAAAGAAGAAAGAAAGGGAAGAAUAAUAAGGAGACUUUUGUCUGAGUUCCCAAGGUGGAGGUAA